CCCCGUGUGGCUCAGUUGGUAGAGCAUGGUGUUUGCAACGCCAGGUUUGUGGGUUCGAUUCCCACGGGGG
rnacentral:tRNA from 1 species